rnacentral:tRNA from 1 species
GGAGAGAUGCCUGAGAGGUCGAAAGGGGCGGUCUCGAAAACCGUUGAGGGCUUAUGCCUUCCGAGGGUUCGAAUCCCUCUCUCUCCG